GAGGGUACAGCUCAGUGGCAGAGCACAUGGUUAGCAUGCACGAGGUCCUGGGUUCAAUCCCCAGGACUCCCA
rfam:Camelus ferus unplaced genomic scaffold scaffold83, whole genome shotgun sequence.